GGGGAUUUAGCUCAGUGGUAGAGCGCUUGCCUAGGAAGCGCAAGGCCCUGGGAUCGAUCCCCAGCUCCA
rnacentral:tRNA from 1 species